AACUGUUGUAGAGAAGAAUAUUGGAUAAACGGCUUGUGGCAGCCAAGCGUUCAUAGCGACGUUGCCCUCGAUGUUGGCUCUUUUUAUCAUUCUGAGGCAGAAUUCAGUAAGGGUUGGAUUGUUCACUCACUAAUAUGGAGCGUGAGCUGGGUUUAGACCGUCAUGAGACAGGUUAGUUUUACCCUGCUGAUGAAAUGUUGUUGCAAUAGUAAUUGAACUUAAUGCGAGAGGAACCGUUCAAUCGGAUAAUUGGUAUUUGGGCCUGCCUGAGCAGGCAAUGGCCCAAAGCUAUCAUCCGUUGGGUUAUGGCUGAACGCUUCUAAGUCAGAACCCAUGCUAGAACGCGACGAUUGCCGCCUUUUCCGAUUUUUAGUUGAAUACGAAUAGAUCCUCACAUCUUGAAUCAUACUAUGUGGGGUCAUCUUGCAGAGCGGAAAGGUUUUGUAAGGUUCCUGCUAAUGUUAAUUUCAAAUAUUGGAAGUGAAAUCCAUAGCAGACGACUUUAAUUGAACGGGGUAUUGUAAGCAGUAGAGUAGCUUGUUGUUACGAUCUGCUGAGAUUAAGCCCUUUGUUCUAUAGAUUU
rnacentral:ncRNA from 1 species